UUAAAAACAUCUUUUCUUGUUAUAUUUUGAGAUUUGACCUGCUCUAUGACUUUAGUUAAAUGGCCGCGGUAUCUUAACCGUGCAAAGGUAGCAUAAUCAUUAGUCUAUUAAUUGUGGACUUGUAUGAAUGGUUGGACGAAAUAUUAACUGUCUCAUUUAUUAUUUCUAAAAUUUAAAUUUUAAGUUAAAAUGCUUAAAUGUUUUUAUUGGACGAGAAGACCCUAUAGAUCUUUAUUUAUUUAAUUAUUUAUUUAUUUUGGUUUAAGUUAAUUUUAUAUAAUUAUAUAUUUUUAGUUGGGGUGACUUGGAGAUAUUAUUUAACUCUUUAUUUUAUUAUUCAUUUAUUUAUGUUUUAUUGACCUUUUAUUAAUGUUAUAAGAUAUAGAUACCUUAGGGAUAACAGCGUAAUUCUUUUUAAGAGUUCAAAUCGACAAUGGAGAUUGCGACCUCGAUGUUGGAUUAAGAUUAUAGUUAGGUGUAGAUGUUUAACUAUUAGGUCUGUUCGACCUUUAAAUUCUUACAUGAUCUGA
rnacentral:rRNA from 1 species